AAAGUUCCAAGUGGGGGCUGUGGUUGCCACUUGACAGAUGACCAAGAGAUGGCUAUAAUAGAUGUGGUCCAGGCCAAACAUGACAUUCCCCAUAGAGAUCCAGAGCAACAUCUAUGAAGAUGAGGACAUGUUUCAAGGAGUACAGAAUGGACCUCUCCAAGAACCUCCCUACUGUGAGCAUGUUAUGGACAGAUCCUUCCAGUAUUGAGCAGCCGCGUAAAGUCCUCAACAGAAGAUGGAUGUGAUCUACCCAUGCUUGCAAUAUGCAUCCAAGAAGAUAUUCUUCUACAAUCAAAACUGUUCAGUGGUAUGAGGACCCUUGAACUGCCUGUGCUUCAGGCUCCUCUUAUGCAUUCAAAGUGCUUGUU